GUAGGUGGCAAGCGUUGUCCGGGAAUUAUUGGGCGUAAAGCGCGCGCAGGCGGUUCUUUAAGUCUGAUGUGAAAGCCCACGGGCUCAACCGUGGAGGGUCAUUGGAAACUGGAGAACUUGAGUACAGAAGAGGAAAGCGGAAUUCCACGUGUAGCGGUGAAAUGCGUAGAGAUGUGGAGGAACACCAGUGGCGAAGGCGGCUUUCUGGUCUGUAACUGACGCUGAGGCGCGAAAGCGUGGGGAGCAAACAGGAUUAGAUACCCUGGUAGUCCACGCCGUAAACGAUGAGUGCUAAGUGUCAGGGGGUUUCCGCCCCUUAGUGCUGCAGCUAACGCAUUAAGCACUCCGCCUGGGGAGUACGGCCGCAAGGCUG
rnacentral:rRNA from 1 species